rnacentral:tRNA from 1 species
GGGUAGGUAGCGAAGUGGUUAAACGCAACAGACUGUAAAUCUGUCGACUCUGUCUUCGGAGGUUCGAAUCCUCCCCUACCCACCA